UACGUAGGGUGCAAGCGUUAAUCGGAAUUACUGGGCGUAAAGCGUGCGCAGGCGGUUUUGUAAGUCUGUCGUGAAAUCCCCGGGCUCAACCUGGGAAUUGCGAUGGAGACUGCAAGGCUAGAAUCUGGCAGAGGGGGGUGGAAUUCCACGUGUAGCAGUGAAAUGCGUAGAGAUGUGGAGGAACACCGAUGGCGAAGGCAGCCCCCUGGGUCAAGACUGACGCUCAUGCACGAAAGCGUGGGGAGCAAACAGG
rnacentral:rRNA from 1 species